UCAGGAAGUAACUGCAUGCUAUAUAGGCAGGGGGUUUGACCUCUUCACUCUUUGUUGCUGGAAGCACACUUCCGCUCUGGGGCCUUUCGCGGUGCAGUCACGGUUGUGCAACAGUGUCUCCCUGUCACAAACCCGAUCUUUCCUGUAACGGAACCGGGUUGAGUGUUGCUGCUGGCUCUGUGUAGCUGUACUAUCGGCACUGUCGGUGUAUUGGUGCGAAGCUCCCUGACUGGUAUGUAUACCAGUG